CCGAGGGCAGCAGCUUGUCUCGUGCAUUGCUGUCUUCCCAGUGCCUGGCCUGCGCUAAGCUGCUCAGUCAUCAUUUGUUGAAAUAAAGAAUGUACAGGACACAGAGACAGGCAUAUGCGGUCUGACCAUCACGUUCUCACACAGACGCACGUGGAGAGACACUGAGAGACCUGGAGGCAAACCUGAGGGCAGGGCCCCACAGUCCCAGACACCCGGCUGAUGGUCAGGGAUGCCCACCAGGACCGGCAGGCAGGCCCCCGAGCAUGGGCACGUGCACCAGCCCUGGCACAGGAAGUCCGUCCCAGGAGAAGCUGAAGGGCCUUCAGAACUUGGAGCUGUUCAACUUCGAGGAGUCACAGCAGCUGCGCUAACGGGAGCAGGAUUUUGAGUCGUUACCAGAGCUUGGCUACCUGGAUGGCUUCGAUGAUGGGGACCCUGCUCAACUCUGAGACUGAGGCCAACAUGCUGGGGGACGAAGAUUCCGAGGAGGACUAGGGGGAAGAUGGAGGAAGAGGAGACAGAUGCUGAGUGUGGUCCUGAGAAAAGGAGGUGAAGAGGUUCAAGAUGGGGCCUUGUGGGCUACUAGGAGAACAGGAUCUUCAUCCAGAGAGCUGAGGGGAGCUGUGGGGAGCAGUGGGGGUACUAUGCAGGGGAGGAGCAUGAUCGGAAGAGUCCCCUGUUUCCAGAGGUGUUCAGCCUGGGGGGAAGGGGUGGGGGGUUGCCUCCGGUGCUCCAGAACGGGGGCGGGAUUGAAGCCUGAGCUGGAAGGGAGCAAGAUGCAGGAAGUAAAGCCAGGCCCCGAGGAGUGGCUGCCAGCAACGCGUGGGACUUCCAUACCCUGGAGGCUUGACCCUCAGAGUUCUGGUGACAGCAGUGUGGGACCAGAUUUUGAACUCUGGCCCCAGCCUGACUUCCCAGGAAGGAUAGGAAGAAGAGGACCUAUAUGGGGGUGAGGUGAGAAGGGAGGGAGCACAGGCUCUCCAGGGCUGGCCUUGACCCACCCUCCUCCUCAGAGCUGUGGCAGGGGGAGAAGGGGAAGUGGGCAGCCGAAGACAGUGAGGAGGAGGAGGACGAUGAGGCCUGAGCCCCGGCUUGCCAGAGUGCCCAGCCCUGGGGGCCCUGGCACCUCCCUUCUACUGCUGGGACUGCCCCACCGCCCUGUCACCUCCCUGAGAGUCAGUGCUGGCCUCAGGACCUGGGGGGCUCCAGCUGGGCGGGCACUCCUGACUCCUGGAAGUUUUAAAAUAAAACUGGAAACUUC